CAAUAGCGUAUAUUAAAGUUGUUGCAGUUAAAAAGCUCGUAGUUGAAUUUCUGGUGGGCGCGCCGGUCUUCCAAGUGUUGUACUGGGCGCAGUCCGCCAUCCUUGUGGAGAGGGCUCGCAUUGAGUUGCGUGUCGGAUCUGCAUCAUUUACUGUGAAAAAAUUAGAGUGUUUAAAGCAGGCUGUCGCUUGAAUACAUUAGCAUGGAAUAAUAAGAUAGGACUUCGGUCUAUUUUGUUGGUUGCGAACCGAGGUAAUGAUUAAUAGGGAUAGUUGGGGGUAUUCAUAUUUGGCAGUCAGAGGUGAAAUUCUUAGAUUUGCUGAAGAUGAACAACUGCGAAAGCAUUUACCAAGGAUGUUUUCAUUAA
rnacentral:rRNA from 1 species